GUUAAAGAGAAAUUGUCAAUCGUGCAUAGAAAAUAAAACAUGCUUUUGGUGCAGCGAACGAGGGAUUUGCAAAAAAUUUUGUCUUUCAAAUUUGGAAUGUCAAUUCAGUUCUGCAUUUUGGGUCAGCUGUAAAGCAUAUGACGAAUAGAUAACUGAAAUAAUAGAUCUUCCAGAGAGAGAAGAAGGAAGUUUCUUUAACGG